AACUUAAAGGCUUUGAUCAUUAAGUCCAUGAUGCUUCCUUCCAACAUGUUGAUAACCAUGCUAAUUGAAGAACCAAUUAAAUGAACUGGAAGUAAAGCAAGGGGAUCAAGAAGGUGGAUUUUCUGGUGUACUUCUUCGAGUAUAUGAGCCUCACAAUGAGCUUGUUAACUGUAAUUAUUGCAGGACUUCACUAGUGGAUUUUCACAGAAGUUGCUCAAAUUGCUCUUACAAACUUUGCUUAGAUUGUUGCAGAAAGAUAGUAAAGGGAUCUGCUUCUCAGACACCUGCAAUUGAUUCCUCCAAGGCUGGUAGGAGACAGAGGGCAAAGAAGUAUGUCAUCAGAGAAAUUGUUGGGAAAAGACGGAGACGUUC